rnacentral:rRNA from 1 species
CCUACGGGAGGCUGCAGUGGGGAAUAUUGGACAAUGGGCGAAAGCCUGAUCCAGCCAUGCCGCGUGUGUGAAGAAGGCCUUCGGGUUGUAAAGCACUUUCAGUGGGGAAGAAAGCCUUGGGGCUAAUACCCUCGAGGAAGGACAUCACCUACAGAAGAAGCACCGGCUAACUCCGUGCCAGCAGCCGCGGUAAUACGGAGGGUGCGAGCGUUAAUCGGAAUUACUGGGCGUAAAGCGCGCGUAGGCGGUCUGAUAAGCCGGUUGUGAAAGCCCCGGGCUCAACCUGGGAACGGCAUCCGGAACUGUCAGGCUAGAGUGCAGGAGAGGAAGGUAGAAUUCCCGGUGUAGCGGUGAAAUGCGUAGAGAUCGGGAGGAAUACCAGUGGCGAAGGCGGCCUUCUGGACUGACACUGACGCUGAGGUGCGAAAGCGUGGGUAGCAAACAGGAUUAGAUACCCGGGUAGUC